UACAGAGGGUGCGAGCGUUGUCCGGAAUCACUGGGCGUAAAGGGCGCGUAGGUGGCGCUCCAAGUCUGUGGUGAAAGCUCGAUGCUCAACAUCGAGUCGGCCAUAGAGACUGGAGGCUCGAGGCACUGUAGGGGCAGAUGGAAUUCCGGGUGUAGCGGUGGAAUGCGUAGAGAUCCGGAAGAACACCGGUGGCGAAGGCGGUCUGCUGGGCAGUUGCUGACACUGAGGCGCGACAGCGUGGGGAGCAAACAGGG
rnacentral:rRNA from 1 species